rnacentral:misc_RNA from 1 species
UUUCCGUAGGUGAACCUGCGGAAGGAUCAUUAUUGUAUAACCGAGGUGCGAGGGCUGUCGCUGACCCGAAAGGUCGUGCACGCCCGAGUGCUCUCACACACAUCCAUCUCACCCCUAUGUGCACCACCGCGUGGGUCCCCCUUUGGCUUGUUCGGAGGGGGGCUUACGUUUUCACACAAACUUUGUAUGCAGUGUAGAAUGUAUUUUUUGUUUUUGCGAUCACGCAAUCAAUACAACUUUCAACAACGGAUCUCUUGGCUCUC